UUCCUUUUUUCUUCCUUCACCUUGAACCAACAGUGGUCUUUUUAUAGCUCAGUCCUCCGGACGCCAUCCGUUAGGAUAAAGAUCAGCAUCGUUGCAACGGCUCGAUACUUAUCUCUAAUUUCCAGGAAUAGUUCCGUUCGAAGGUGCAUAUCUAGUUGAUGCGUAACUUAAGCUGGCCUGGCUAGAUAUCUGCGUGCUUUUCUCUCUCGCUAGUAUAUUCUAGUAUAUUCUGGCCGGUAGAUAACUUAAACUGAUGUUUAGUUGAAGUAUAUCUCGCUAG
rnacentral:lncRNA from 1 species